AUUGAACGCUGGCGGCAUGCUUUACACAUGCAAGUCGAACGGUAACAGGCCUUCGGGUGCUGACGAGUGGCGAACGGGUGAGUAAUGCAUCGGAACGUACCCAGAGGUGGGGGAUAACGCAGCGAAAGCUGUGCUAAUACCGCAUGUGAUCUGAGGAUGAAAGCGGGGGACCGAGCAGCAAUGUUUGGCCUCGCGCCUUUGGAGCGGCCGAUGUCGGAUUAGCUAGUUGGUGGGGUAAAGGCCUACCAAGGCGACGAUCCGUAGCUGGUCUAAGAGGACGACCAGCCACACUGGGACUGAGACACGGCCCAGACUCCUACGGGAGGCAGCAGUGGGGAAUUUUGGACAAUGGGCGCAAGCCUGAUCCAGCAAUGCCGCGUGCGGGAAGAAGGCCUUCGGGUUGUAAACCGCUUUUGGCAGGAACGAAACGGUGUCCGCUAAUACCGGGCGCUAAUGACGGUACCUGCAGAAUAAGCACCGGCUAACUACGUG
rnacentral:rRNA from 1 species